rnacentral:tRNA from 1 species
CGCGGCGUGGAGCAGUGGCAGCUCGCCAGGCUCAUAACCUGGAGGUCGCAGGUUCAAAUCCUGUCGCCGCAA